rnacentral:rRNA from 1 species
UACGUAGGGUGCGAGCGUUAAUCGGAAUUACUGGGCGUAAAGCGUGCGCAGGCGGUUCGUUGUGUCGGCGGUGAAAGCCCCGGGCUUAACCUGGGAAUGGCCGUUGAAACUGGCGAACUGGAGUGUGGCAGAGGGGGGUGGAAUUCCGCGUGUAGCAGUGAAAUGCGUAGAGAUGUGGAGGAACACCGAUGGCGAAGGCAGCCCCCUGGGUCAAAACUGACGCUCAUGCACGAAAGCGUGGGGAGCAAACAGG